rnacentral:lncRNA from 1 species
GGGACGGGGAGGUGGGGUGGAGCGGGGCAGCAGGGGAGGAGGCGGAUGAGGUGGAGAUGGCCAUUCAUUUCACGCCGAGGUGCGCCGAGCUGAGGGGUGACCCGGAGGAAGCUCCCUCCAUUGACGCGUCGCGCGCUGGGCGUCCAUAGGAAAGGAGGGAUGAGCCCCGGCCUGGUGGGCUGACCGGCCCGUAAGACGAAGCCCUGCGCAGCCCCGGCCUGGUGGGCUUAGUACGUCGGCGGAGGCAGGUUUUGCAUCGCCAAGGUCUUUUGAAGUCCAGCACUCCAGCGGGUUGUGAAGUUGGGCUUUGAAGAUGACACUGAGACACUAGCAGAGUUUGUUGAGCUCAGCGGCGUGGAGGUGGUUCGCGGCGGUGAUGAUUUAGAGUAUAGAUGGCCAACGCGUCGUGCCGUCACGACCAGACGGUACAGCGUGCCAUGCCAUACCAUACAUGCAUCGUGUCACGUCGUGCCGUCGUGCUGAUCGUGCCAUACCAUCAUCGUGUCUCGUGUCGGGGGUACGACCCAAGACACGGCCCGUGGGCCAUCGGGCCGGCCCGAAGGCACGGUGGGCCACCAGGGCAAACUCAUGCUUGAUGCUACAGCAGGCCAGCAGGAUGGCUGAAUGGGCCAGUAGCAGGCCUACAUUUUUUUUAAAAUUAGCAGACUAUAUUUCUUAUUAUCAGGACACUCAAGAUGGCUGGAUGAGCCAGCAGGCUUAUAUUUUUUUUUUAAGAAUUAGCAGGCUACAUUUUUUACUAGGCCAUUAAGCAUCAGGGCGUCGGACCGUGCUUGAGCCGUGCCACGAGCCACAUAGACGACCUAGGGCUACAUGGCCAACUAUAUGAUGGAGAGUUUCGGAUGGUGAAGCACAAGUCCACACGUUACAUGUUCACCAACACCGAUGAAAUCAAAUAUGUGCUCUGAUCUGAAGAAACAAUCGAGUGCUACUGCUCAACCAAGUUGUUAGAUUUUCUUGCACUGUUCGGAAUUCAAAUUUGAUUGGAUUUUCAGUUGGGCUUCCUAAACAUGGCCGGGCUGCCCAACACAACACAUUUUAGAACUUUGCUGCUGCUGAACUCCUUUUGGUCAUCACAAGCUUAGACUUAUGACCAAGGUCCGUUUGGUUCCCCUUGCUAAAUUUUAGUCAACUAAACUUUACUAGUAGAUAAAUUUUCAAAUAUACUGGCUAAAAAAGAGUUAAAAUAGUUUACUGUCACUAUUUACCUAAGAGUAGCUAAAAUUAUUUUAGCUGACUAAAAUUUAGCAAGGGAAACGAGGUCAAAGUUCCCCUAUAUCAAAAGCUCAAAACAGCUGUGUUUGAUUUCUGAUUCUCUUUUUUGAAGUUGGCUUGCGCACAAAAGUAAUGUGGUGUGUGCUGCAGAAUAAACAUCAGCUUUCUCAAAAAUUUUCACUCUUGGCAUUUGUAUCAGCGAUGACACCAACACCAAGACAUGCAUAUAUGACCAAUAUUCACGACACCAAUUAAGACACGUUGAUUGGUCCUCCGGUCACAAUCACAAUCUCAAGCCGUUGGUUAAACUUUUUCGUCAGCAGCAGGGGCAGGAUCAGGAUGAGGAUGAGGACGCCAGCUGAAAUCUCUGGUGACCAACGCGUGAACGAAGUCUGCGAUGCACAGGAUGAUGAUGAUGAUGAUGCCGAGCAGCAGGACCGGCACGGCGACGAACCAGAUCAUGACCUUGCCAGCGUCGUCGCCCCGCGGGACCGCCGUCCACACGAAGACGACCUCCAGCGCCACCGUUGCCACCACGAAAAGCACCUGCGCGUCGCAUCCAUGGAUAGAUAGAUAUGCACAAUUAAUUAGCUAGAAAUUAGGUCGACUCGUCUGACCACUACUAAAAAAACAGUUAGACAUUCUAAACAUUUUGAAAAUCAAAGCAUCUAAAGUUUAACUAAAAUUGCAGAAAAAAAUUAUAAAGAUUUAUAAUAUAUUAAAUAGAUAUACUAUAAAAAUAUAAUUAAUAUAAAGUCUAAUAAUACUUAGUUAGUAUUAUAAAUAACUACGAUUUUUGAAAUGUCCUAUCAUUUAGAACACGGAGAGUGCGUGCAGGUGCACGUAUACGUACGUCGAUGAAGGACUUGCGGAAGCGGCUCAUCGGCCGGAGGGGCAGCUCGCCGCGGUGCAGGCAUGGGUCCCAGUCGUCAGAUUCCUCCUCCUCCUCGGCCUCGAGCUGUGGGCCUCGAGCCAGAGGUAGUAGUGCCUUGCGCCAGCAUCAUCGUCGUCGGGAUCUAUCCAGUCGUCUCUGCGACGAGAAGGCCGAGGGAAGAACACCACCAUGGCCGGACGUACAGCUAGCUGAUCUCGCCGCCGGCCGCCGCGCUGGCGCGCGCGCGAGAUGAAAUUAACGUGCGUACGUCCUGCAGGCCGCGACGACCAAGAGUAUAUAGUAGUACUUGACAGAGAGAACGCCGCUGCAUGCUAUACGUCUCCAAUGCAAGUAUUUAUUAUUGUACUAGCAAAAUAUGCCCGUGCGUUGCUACGGGAGCAAAUAGACGUUUGUAAAAAAUGAGCAUUUUGUUAUAUUUAUUUGUGUUUUAUCCUUUGUAUUAAAUUUGACAAUUUUUAAGCUUUUACAACUGACUUUGAAGCAGACUGUCCAUAUAUAGUUUAUAUACAUGCUCUUAGACUUUUUAGGAUUUUUAUUUCACGCGCAAUGGCACCUUAUACUCUCUGGUUGAAAGGAGCCUAAUAAACUUUUGAAUUAUGAUUUUUAGAUUUGAUUUCGAUUUUAUAUAGAUUGUAUAAGUUUCUGUCAAUUUGUGCAUUGUUCGUGAAAAGACAAGAAGCUAACAAUACACUUUUUAUUGGUAAGCCGAAGUCUAUGUAAAUCUUGAGAUUGAUUUUUAUUGUGCGUUGCAACGGGGGAAAAUCAUCAAAUGGCCAUAGAAAGUUAUGACAUAAUGUUACAUUCUAUUUAUGUUUAUGUUUUUUAUAAAAUUUAAAGUCUAUAAUUUAUUUUAUUGAUAACCAUGACAUCUAUGGUAUUAGAUAGUUAAUAUUUAAAAUAAUAUAUAGCUUGGAGACAUAUUUAGUUAAUAAUAAUUAUAGAAAUUAGUCAAACCUUCUCUUACUUUAAUAUUACCUCUUCAUAUACCUUAGGAUUAUAUUAAAAAUGAGAAGUUUGUUAGUAGCUUUAUUUUUUUAUUUAGAUUAGGAUUUCUAUGAAUAUGAUAUAUCAGUUAAAUGUAUGUAGAUUAUAAACACAUGGACUUAUAAAGUGUUCAUAUGACAUAACAACACAUCAUGCAAAGGUAGUGUAAGCAUCCUCAAGCAUAAAUUUAGUUAAAUUAGUAAAUCAGUAAGAUAUACAGGAUUUGUUGCUAAAACUUUUACCAGCAAAAAAAUAUACUAAAAUUUGUGUUUUUUUUGUUUACUAUAUGGAUCUAAAUAUGUGGAGCUAAACAAAAUUGUUUUGUAUUUUUUAGAAUUUUCCAUGAAUUAAUAUAUAUUUAUUAAUUUUUAUAGAAGAUUUUGCAUUAGGAACCCUAAAAAAGGUUCUAUUUUUUUCCUCUUCGGGCCGAUUGUGAUGCGGGCAGUCUGCGGACGGCCGAUUGGCUGACAAAUUUACACUUAGGCCCCUGUAUUUUCUUUAUUUUUAAAAUGCUCUAAUGUGUAUAGAAGAUUUUGCAUUAGGAACCUUAGAAAAUCUUUUAUUUUUUUUCCUCAUCUACAACCUACCGAAACGGAUAUACAACGUACGGAAACGGAUAGGCAGGUGGCAGACUGAAAUUUUCUCCUUUUAUAAAUAGGUAUAGAUUAUUAUCGUCUACCGCGGUACGGUACAAGUUCGUGUCGGUGUCGAGGGAGAGACCGACACGUACACGUACGUGUAGUGUAGCAGCACGGAUAUACGAGCCCCAUGGAAUCUGAAACAGGCUCGGUCUGACACCGCCAUCCGUGACGGAGAAAAAAUAAACACAAGAACCUUCGGCUAGUAGUGGCUGCUAUCCAAAGGACAAUAUAUUAGUCGCUUAGUCUUGUUUUUCUUUUCUAAAUGAGCUUUUAUACAAACAGUUUUACCUGCUAUAAGGCUAUAAGAGUAACUCAAAAAAAAAACUCUCUGAAUCCUUCAUAAAUGGUUAUCCAAAUGUAGCUGUCUUCUAUUCCGGAUUUAUCGUUAGCUAAAAAUAGAAGACGAGAACAACUCUAUAGAGUGUGCAUGAGAUUUAGAAAGAUUGUUGGUGAAUGAAAAAAGAUAUAGAAAGCGGAUUUUAAUUAUACAAGUGAGACUCUUCAAAUAAUAAUUUAGAAAGUAAGAUUUAUUAAAAAGGUUUUUAGAGAUACCCUAAUAAUACUUUUUUAAAAGCAUGCUCUCACGUAGGAAGGGGUAGGAUGAAACUAAAAGUAUUAGUUUUUCUAACUUCGCUUAGCACCAGCGAGCCCCAACGUGUGAAUGCGUUAGCGGGAUAAGUAAAUGAAUUAGAGAGAAGAGCGUUAAGGUAUUUUGUUCUUUUUGUCUAUUAUAUGAUCAGUUGUUCAAAUUCAUGAUAGAACUAACUAGAGCAAAAAAAAAUGCUUCACUAAUAAAGCUUAGUUGUGCCGAACAGAUCGAAUCUCACUACUUCUCCAACUCUAGAAUCAGUUAUCAUUACUAAUACAAUGGCACUAGGCCGGGUUUAAUUUGAUGAGCUCUGCUACUCGAGAUGGGACUUGCGGCAAGUACGAUUAGGGAAUACUCGACACAUUACUACUAGGAAUGAUCAGUGUUUACAUAUAUAGCAUUAUGGGGAGCCAGACAGGCUCACAUGCCAGGUUACAUUUCAACACUGAUCCCGACUGAACCUAAACUCUGUAAACACGGAUGUCGGUAAGUUAUUUUAGAGUGUAAUCCUGCUAUUACUAUUUCACAUAUCAACGUAACAAGAAUGAAGAUAAAUGUGGUACUUUGAGUUUUCACAGAAAAGUCUGAUCUUUCUAUUAUUGACAUACUCCUUUGUAUAGGAUUUAGAAGUCGUUUAGGACAGCGACACGAUCUCCAAAACACAACUUUGACCACUUAUUUUUAUAAAAAAAUAUUUUAAAAAAAAUAAUAUAUGUAUAUUUUUAUAAAAAUAUUUUUAAAGGCAAAUAAUCUAUUCAUAUAAUUCUCACAUUUGCAAACUCAAAAACUUAAAAGUUAUUGAUUAUUUACAUUUUCAAUGUUUAACCUAAACCUUAUGCAAAACGAUUUCUAAAUUCUAUAUGGAAGGAGUACUAACUCAAGUGCAGAAAGGUCAAAAACUUGUAAAUGAAAAGAUGGCGAACCCGCGCGAUGGAGAACAUGGAGGAGGUGCAGUUGAUGCAAAUGGCCGUGAACAUUUUUCAAUCAUUCUUAUACUUUUCUUGUAAAACAUAAUUUAUUGAAUGUAUAUAUGUCAUCCUUUUGCCGUGAAUAAAGUUGUAUGAUACAUGUGCGUGUCGCACGUGCCUGUCCACUAGUUUUAUGAAAUGACUACAUCAAUGUAGUUAUUUUUUACAUAAAUUAUAAUACAUUUUUUUAAAAAAAAGAACAAAAGGACAUGCCGGGCGCCUGAGUGCAGUUGUUAAACAAAAAUCAACAACGAAAAUGUUAAUGUAAACAAAAUCCUUUUAAGGCCCUCCUUUGGGAAUUGAAUACCAAAUAUGUUGCAAAAAAUAAUGUACUAAAAUAAGUUUUUGUGCAUAGCUAAAAUAUAUGUUGAUUUGCAAAGCCAAUAUACCAAAUGGAGUUGCUAAGGAAAAUAAAGUAUUCUGACAAGUUCCUGCACAUAGCUAAAAUAUGUGUGUUGCUUUGCAAAGCCAACAUCAAAUGCAAAAGAAGCUCAGUCGAUUUUUUGGGUGCUGGCAAAGACAUGCCUCCCGUUGCAAAUUGGAUACCAAAUGUGAUAAAAAAGGCAAAGAAAAAAAACUCUAGCGUUUUCUUAACGGAUACCUAAAAAAUAAGCGUUGCUUUGCACUACCAACAACGAUGCAAAGUUGUGGUGUUUUUUUUCAUGCCUACGAUAUGUGUUGCUUUACAAAGCCGAUAUCAAAUGCAGAGAAAAGGUUAACUACAUACUCUUUAGGCAGUAGUUAAAGUAUCCACUAUUUUGUGGUUUUUGUGGCCUAUAUAUAACAUGUGCUGUUUUGCAAAGGUAACAUCAAAUACGGAGAAAAAAUCUAAGUAAUAUUUAGAACACAGUUAGAUAGGCACUGUUUUGCUAAGAUGAUAUCAAAUGUUGAUGCAAAAGAAAAGGCUCCCAAGGGUCUUGCGGCACUAGCUAAAUCAUAAUGCGAAACUUCGAGAGCGAAAAUGUGGAUGAAGAGAAAAGCCUUUCUCUGGAAAUAUGCCCUUCACUCCUUUCCAAAGUGAAUAUCAAAUAUGUUGCAAAGCUAAUAUCAAAUUCAAAACAAAGCACCAUCGAGUUUUAGAUAGUAGAUAAAAUAUGCCUUCCAUGGAUGAUACCACAUAUGAUGGUUCGGACGGUUUUUGCGGCAUAGCCAAAAUGUGUGUCGCUUUACGUAAUUAACAUCUAUCAAAUGCGUAAAAAAAACCUUUGAUGGUUUUGUUUUGGCAUGCAUACAAUAUGUGUUGCCUUGCAAAGCGAACAUCAAAUGCGAAGAAAAACAUCCAUUAAUCUUUAGACAAUUGUUAAAGUAUGCAUUGUUUUGCAAAGAUGAUAUCAAAUGUUGCUCUCAAUAAAAAAACGCUCCCGAUUUCUGCGGCAUUAGCUAAAGCAUUCUUCAUAAUAAGUCGUAUCACAAAGGCAAUCCUAAAUGUACCUUAAAAUUAUUUUUGCAUUCAAUCUUAUCUAUAAUAUACAUAUCAGUCGCCUAUAUAAAUAGAUAGGUUCAAGUCAGGAGAAGACAAGCCAUCGAAAUCACCCUAAAGUCACACAAACUCCACAUAUAGAAACAGAGAGACUGGUUGCAGGGGAUCCUAGAUGCCUUGAGUUGUUUGAGCAGUGGGUUUCAGGGUCAGGGCCUUGGCUCUUCAUAGCAGCAGUUAACGAAAAUCCUAGAACCCCCACUCCCUCCCAAAAAAAGAAAGGUAGUUCACAAAACUUCUAAAAACGCAACAAAAUCCCAAACACAUUGUUUUUUCUAUUGGCACUUGUCUUUUUCCCUUCCACUACAGCGAAAAUGGUGGUGAUCCUACAACUCUAGCACCAGCUUUUAUCCAUCACCUCCACUUGAUCACAUCCCUCUUGCCACUUCCCCUCCCCUCCAUCAACAAUUUUGUUUCCUCAGUGAUUUUUUUUCCUUGCUUGCUCGGUUUCUUGUGGGGUGAACCGGCAAGGCGGGGGCACAGGACAACACAAAGUAGUGAAAGCUUCAAUAUCGGCUAGAUUCCUCUCCCCUUUUUCUCUCUCUUCCUCUUCCCGCUUGCUUUGUGCUUCAUUAGUGAGAGGAGAAGAGAGGAGGCCCACACCCACUUGCCUUCCUUCUCUCUCUUCUCUCGCAUUCCUCUUCCAACUCCUCCUGGUCCUCGGAAAAAAGGAGAUCUUUUAUGCAAGAUUUGAUUUGUUGUUGCCACCUCGGCCUUGUUGUGCGCGUAGAGAUUUGCUCCUUUCUUGGUUGGUGAUUUCUUAGUUGGCGGCUCGCGCGCACGGGUAGUUAGAGCUCUUGAUUCAUCAGGCUUAGAUUGCGGCUAACACGUCUACUUUGAGCAGGUCAAGGCUACCGUUUGCCGAGUGAUUCUGUGGCCGCUCAUGACGAUGGACAGGUGGGCAAGCGGUGUCCUCGUCUGAUCCAUUUCUUCGGGGGGCUUUAGUUGAUGUGUUGGGUUUCCUCGGAGAUCAGUUCUCUAAUUUGCCAUUUUGAUGAGGAGCUCUUCCUGUUGUGAGAGCUACUGCACUCCUCCCCUAUGCUACCUCCCAUGCCUCCCCAAAUCCAAAGACGAUGCGGAUGCGGGCCAUGACCCAAAGUCUGUGUCUCCGAGCCCCACAGUUAUCGUCGAGGACAAACCGCCGAUGAUCCAGAAGAUCGAGGAAGCUGCUCCUGCGGCAGCGGCGGCAACAACCAGCGUCGAUGGCAUCGGUGAUGAUAAUGACAAGUGCUAUAGGGAGGUGGCGGUGGCUCCCAAGAGCUGCUUAAAGAGGGCUAAUUGCAAGGACAACAGCAAGAUUGCAGCGAAAGGCAAUGUGAAGUGGAGGGAUUUGCUGGGGACGGAUCUCACACAAGUCAAAGUAUUCGAGCCAAGGUAUGCGCCGUGCUCUUGCCAUGUUUCCACCCUUACUAGUACUAGUACUGUCUAGUUGAGAUUGUGGGUGAGUUCAGUAAUAUUGUAGAGUCAAACUUGCCGAAUGCUUGCCAUGCCAUGUAAAGUGUGGUGUUCACCAUUUUGAUUAUGAGUCAAUUCAACCAAUGGAUAUCUAGCUUGCCCCUGAUUUCUAGAGGAAUGUUCUCAUCAUUGUGCCUAGUGGACAUGUGGCUUUGCCCCUGAUCUCUAGAGGAAUGUUCUCGUUUUAGGUCUCCGUGACGGCGCACAUUUGAUUUUAAGCCAUGGAUGAUCACUUGUUGUUCUGCUGACAUUAGGAAAACACUAGUACCUAAUGGCGAAGUCAAUGGUCUGUCAUGAGCGUCAUGUUCCUUGGUAAUGGUGUGGCCAUCCUUUUGUUGUUCCAAGGUGCAGUGGUGGGUUUAUUAGAUGAGAUCUGCUCCGGUACUCCUCUUUCAAAAAAUUACACGUAUCUUGAUGCAGCCUAAUUAUUGAAUAAAAUAUUUCUUAACUAUUUUUCACUUGUGUCACGCAUGGGCUUGGGCUCGGAGCACCUUAUCCAGCCCGUGCGAACCAAAGUCGAACUCAUCAUUCUCGAUCGUCGAUAUGCUUUGUUCGGAUUAUGUUUCUAUAUAUUCACUGCUUGCAUAUAUUUCGACUGCGCCAGCAGCGGCAUCCAUGGCCGCCGUCGUGGUGGCCGGUCUCACACACGAGCAGUAGCCGACAGCCGACGUCCAUCAGAAUUAAAGUGGCGCAGUCUGUGUGGACUUCCUCACGUGAAAUAGAUCAGUGCCGCCAGACCUCUUCCUUGGGAAUCGAACGGCAUCCGCUGCUGAGGAAGGGAAUGGAGGUGCUGCUGGCUGCGAGCACACGACGAGGAAAAGAAUCCUCCAAUGGAUGAGCCGUCACGGAGCCUUGCCUGCGCAGGCUCUCCCAUGGAAAUAGUAGAAGAGAUGAACUGAUGAACGGAAUCCGAAGGAAGGGGGAUUUUGAGUAGACUUGAGUUCGACUUGGGUCUGGGCUUGGUGGGCCGAGAACAUGCGAGACUCACGUAAAAAUGAUUAUGAAAAUAUUUAGUUAAUGAGUUGAGCUGCUUCGAGAUGUGUGUCUUUUUUUAAAAGAGGAGUAUUGGAGCAGAAGCCUUAUUAGAUAAGGUUGGGCUAAGCCAUGGCGUAGUGUUUCUAGUAUAUCUGGCCUUGGUUGGAGUGUUCAAGCGUGGUGUGAAUGCAUUGAGCUUUGCUUCCAUAUCGUCAACAUCUGAUCAUUAAUCAGAAUGAGUUGGUUGUUGCGAAGCCAAUUUCUUGUGCUCUGGGUUAAGCUAUAGACCAAACUAUCCAUAUCUUUUCUGGUUAGAUGGCCACCCAAGUAUCCUACCUAGACCCACUUUUUAUUCGGUGCUUCCCUGCCAAUUUUCUUCAACGCAUCAAGGAAGCAUGAUCAAAUGGUCUAGUUUGGUCUAGUUUCAACUCUGUCUGGGCUUUGAUGCUUACACAAUCCUUGAUUGCUCUGCUAGACCUAGAUCUCUUACUCUCAAAAUUGAAGAUAUAUAUAUAUAUAUAUAUAUAUAUACUAGCAAAACAUGCCCGCGCGUUGCAACGGGAGAAAAAAAAGCUUUCAAACCUUAAUGGGAAUGGACCAUGAAAAUGAUAUAAUUUCUAUUUAUAAUUUAUCCUUUCUAUAGAACUUGAAAUUUAUAAUUUAUUUUACGAUGACUAUGAUAUCCAUAAUAUAACUUAGUGCUGCCAUUAAUAUGACAAUGUCUUAUUAGACACAGAAAAAAAGAUUUAAAUUAAAUAUUGAGCUAUAUGACUUUUAUAAGACCCAUAAAAUGUUUAAUUAUAGUCUGCAAGGAGUUAUUUGCCAACGUGUCGAGAAUUGGUUUAUGCGAUGGUGAUUAUAACGAGAGACUUCUCUUGAUUUUUUAUAUAGCAGUCAUCCAUUGAUGAUUCUAGAAAUAUAUUUAUUUAGACGGGAUUAGACAACAAACCGUAACAAAAUUUAUCAAGAUUUAGUUCAUGGACUGUUGAUUGAUUUAGAUUUUAAUGAUGAUGCGUAAAUGGGUCCCAUAUUGUUUCAAGUGUAAAAAAAUUGCAUUGACUGGGUAUAGAGGCAAUAGUAAUGCCAACUUUCUGAUGAACCAUAAUGGCACAAGAAUCGUAAUAGAUCCAAAUUAACCCUACAAAUUUGGGUAUCAACGCGGCCUUCGCCCACGCCGGCGACGCCAGAUUCGCUUGUCGUCCCUUGCCUCCAACUUCAAGAUGAUGAAGAACAAGAGGCGCAAGGUCACCUCCACCUUCACGACACUGUGGCCACUGCACACCACCGUUGAUUCCCUUCCCGACGAUGUAGUGGCAUGUGUUAGCCCAUAUUCCCAAUUCACCACAUAGAGCUGUCCUGUCCAGUUGGUUCAUCUUCUAGCUGUUGUCUGUCCAUUCAGCAUCACCAGCCGAAGCAAAUGCCAACCUUAAUCUGUUUUGCUAUCAAAAAAAGGCUAGAACUGUCAGAUAAUGAAUCCAAAUAUUUAUUUAGGCCAGAUGGUCAAAAAAUCAAUAGUAUUUAAUGGUAUAGCUUCUAUUUCAGCCAGACUACACAAACACUCUUCUAAAGUCUAAACAACAAAGUCAAUCUAAACUGAAUGAUCAUGCCAAUUCAUGUAGUCGAUUCUUGUGUAAGCAACCAUAAAAAUCAGGAAGAUGGCACAUCACGCGGAAUAAGAAGAUGCAGAAAAAGGAACUAAAAGGUACCACCCAAAUGGCUCAUCAACGCAAGGACUUAGUAUUGGUUCAUCACACAGUUUUGCAGGGAAGUGAGUCACUGCUUCUGAUAGCUUGCCGUGCUCUAAUCUGAAUUUUCUCUCUAAGCAAAUUUUUCUCUCUGAAACUUAUCUCAAAACAAAGGUCUGAAGAUCCAAUUUUGUCCCAAGAAUCUGAAUAACAUCCAUUCACUUUCUUUCAUAAAUCAUAACUAUGUUAGGACCUGUUGUUUAUCUGAUGAAACUGAAAAUUCUAAACAUUGUCCAUUCAGUAACCUAGAAUAAUGGAUCAAUUUCAGUACAUAUUAUUUAUCUGCUAAUUAAUUCAGCAAUUCAAUCAUCCUAUCUGAUUCACACGUUCAAUAUCUCAAAAUUAUGCACAGUGAAUCCGGUUAGCUAGAGCAUGAAGCCUGCACCUGCCAGGACCGUGCGGCUGCCUGGAGCCUGGUGAGGUGAUGCUGCAACGAUGAGACUCGCCACUCGCUAGCCGCCAGGUGCCGCCACAGCCCACAACAGAGUGCUCAGGCCAGGGACUCGCGGUCGCCGUCUAGAUGCGGCCCCGAGGGACUCGUGCCUCCAGGGGAAGUCGCGCCGCCAGGGGGAAGUCGAGCUGGAGCUUGGUGCUGGGCGUUAGGGGGAAGGUGACGCCGAGGAGUUGUGCGUCGAGGAGGAGAUGCUGCCGGGGAAUCUGCGCGACGGGUGGGGACGCUCGCGGUCGCGCUUAGGGAAGGGGCGCGGGCAAUGAAUGAGAGGAAGCUAGACGCGGACGGCUGACAGCCGACUCACCGACGCUGGGCGAGGGAGAGUGGAGGAGGAGGUCGCCGGGGGACAAGGAUGGAGCAAGAGAGUUGCGGGAGUCACACUGUCGAGGCCUUGAGGGAGACGCAGGGGAGUCACGUGCGGGGAUGGGGGCUGGGCGGGGCGAAAGAUUGGUGUGAACGAUUGCUUUUGAUGUACGUCGAAGGUGCGGGGACGGGGGUUGAGCGGGGCGAAGGGCAGGCCGAGACGGGGCAGAAGAAAAUUUCGGGGCAGACUGAAAUUUUCACAAUUUAUUAGUAGGUAUAUAUAUAUAUAUAUACUCCCUCCAUCCCUACAAUACAUGACGUUCUAGGCCCAAAGCCUAUUUUCUCAAAACUUGACGUUGCUCCUGUGCAUUCUUAAAUUAGGACGCAAUUGCCCCUGCCAGCUUGACGGCUCGCCUCGCCAACUGCUUGCUCGCAGCAAUUAAUAGCGUCGCUUCCAACCAAUCCGCGCAACAGUGCUGGGCAGAAAUCCAAAUCUUUGCAAAAACUAACGCCGGACGAAAAAAAGAAUGCCCAACAACAAGGCUUCGAACUGCCGACCUCGGGGCCAGCAUCCGCGUACACUAGCCGCCUGGACUGUGAAACUUUCUUGGAAAGAAUGCACCCGCAGUCCUAUUUAAUAAGGCCAAAUGAGGAAAAUACCCCCCUAAUUACUCACUCCUUGGUUACCACAAUCAUGUCCUAAACGUCAUGUAUUGUAGGGAUGGAGGGAGUAUAUAUAUAGCUUCGAUGCUUACUUAAUCUUUUUCUUUGAUGCAGCGAAUCUGGAUGUUGUCUGGACGAUGAAGAAUACAUCGGCGCCUGCACCUGCAUAAUCCAAUGAGCCCACGGAUCUCCAAUGUAAAUUCUAUGAAGGAAAAAAAAGAAAAACAAAAAACAGAAUGGGGGGUUGUCGGAGUCAACCAUUAGUCCUUGACAGUAGAUGGUAGACAGGAGGCGGGUCCAUAGUUGUGUGUUGGUAAUUGGAAUGUCGAUGCCAUGGCUCGUGUUGUGUUCUGUCAGCAGCAGCUUCAACUUUAAAAUGUUGUUACAAAUGCAUAGCUUUACAAGAUUUCUUGUGCCAAAUGUGUCAUACUAGUAGUAUGUCCUGCACACGUUCAGCAAUCAGACUGCACUAACCACACUAGAACAUUAGGCACCCUUCGGGCGCCCUAUCUUGAUCAUGAAGCUAAAUUUUUAAGUACUAAAGUAUUUAGCCAAAAUUCUAACAAUAAUUUUCUUAUUUCAUAAAGGACAACACAUUUAUAUAUAUAUAUAUAUAUUAUAUAUAUAUAUAUAAACACAGAUUCUUGUACAAUCAAAAAUAAAUUAAAACUUGAAUAUCGUCUUAGACAUCUUUGAAGACUUUUGCAUCAGGCUACACUUUAAAGGGCUAAUGAACAGUCUUAGAGAUCGAUUUAGGGGGUGAGAUUUGAAGGGAAAAAACAUAUAUCUAAGUAGGAAGUAUACAUACAACCACAGUAAACUUCAGAGUCAGUCCCAAAUUUAGUAAAAAAUAGAAAGAAUCUCUGGUUGAGGCACCCUUAACACCAGUCUGUACUAAACUCCUCGACACCAGCUGGGCGAAGAAGUCAUUGAUAGUGAUAACAGCGGCACUGAUGAAGUAGGGAUCCACAUUUCCCAUGAACAGCAUCUUUGUAUACCUGUUGAGAGAGUCGCACCAAAUCAAUAGCGGUCUUCAUCUACUAUGGAGGAAAGCAGCUGCAGCAAUUGCACCAACUUGGAUAGGGCCGAAAAUUCAUGACUUAAGAUCAAGAUCGGUAAAGAAAAAUUAAUCUCUAUAGCCAACCUUAAAAAAACAUCUUGCAAGCUGUCGAGCAAGUUAGCUUUCCUGCGGCUAGUCCAAAAUUAGAGGUAAGGUCACUAUAAUGCUAUAUAAAGUUACAGACUGAGUAGCUAAAUUGAUAUUCCGAAGAAGACAGAGGAAUGGACCAUACUGUUGCACAUCUUCCUGAGUUUUUUUGGUGGUUUUCUUAAUUUAGAGGAAUAUAUUAAAUGUCAAUCAACUGAGGAUAUUCCUUAUCGAUUAGAUCUUCAUACGCAAUGUAGCAACAAAAAUAAUGUGCUGAUUACAAAUACUAAAGAAUGCCUAGCAGACCGUUUAUUAAACAAAUAGCAUGAGCAACAAUGGUUGCUGCUUCAAUUCCUUACUGCAUGAUGUUUGCUCUCCACUAUAUACUCACAAUACAUUGAUUUCAGUGUAAUGCAUAUGCAUAGAAAAUGGUUUGUUAUUAGUAAAACUUGGAAGCAUGAGGAGCAGCAACUAAUACAUCAUUUUUUUUAUAUAGAUGACCUUUGGGCUGAAACUUAAAAACAGUACAUCAUUGAGGAGCAGCAAAUUGAUCCAACAUUGUUUGCCCCAUGCUCUUGUUACUUGUUAGACAAUAUGCAAGUUAAGCCAUGGAGUAGUUUAAGUUCCAACAGUCGUCAAAUCAAAAUGGUCGACCAUGAAUGCUGUAUAGAUUAUAUAUCUAUUUUGGCCAGCAAUUGGCAUAUAUUUUGGACAACUAAAGCCUGAAGGAGCUAAUUCAUGCUAUGACUGACGGUGAAAUGCUAGCAACUGCAAGCAAAGUAUUUUGGAAGUCACUUGCUUUCGUGAAAGGCUAAUCAUACCUCUGCAACUUAUCCUAAAGUAGGAUGCACAACGCACCUGAGUAGCAAUAGCACAGGACACUCCUUGGAAAUCUUGAACAUGGAAUUCUAGUUCACCUCAACCUAGGCCUAAAUGUUAUCAUAGCAAUCUCAUUAACUGGAUAUGCAAAAUAAUAGUUAUGCAGAUCGAUCAUCAGAGGUUGAAAAUAUUCUGACUCGCAUGAUCUAAAAAAAAUAGGAAACAAUAUUAACCUUAAAGCAACAUGUCCUUGCUAAGACAAGAUAGCUUCAACCACAGGACCUUAAGCAGCAGCAGAAGCUAUACGCUCAAAGGCACUGGGAGGCGCAGAUGACACUCAACUGCUGCAUUUAUGGAAGAGACCAUGGUAGCAACCAGCUUAGAGGAGCAUCUAUGGGAGAAGAAAUAAAGCUGAUGCCCACCUCGAGAAAAGCACAUCACCAGUGCACAGAUCUAGAGUUGGGAACCACAUCAUGGUGCGACUGAUGACGAAUCUUCGAGGAGCCAAGGAGUCAAGGGGAUGAAAGCGUACAGAUAGGAGAGGGAAAGAGACCAGAUCUUACCGCCCCCAUGUCGUACUUCCAAGGUCUGGUGGGAUCCUCAUGUGCUGCCAGGAUCUGGGCGAGUUCCUUCUCCAUUGCCACAGGGAAGAAGGCCUAGGAGAAAGGCUCGCAGAGAGGGAGGGACGAAGCUGCCUUUCAUGUGUGGCUAGGGACCACGGUCGUGGAGGAGCGACGACGGCGAUCCGGGAGGUGCGUGCAGAUGCAAGGGGCAUCGGCGGCCUGGGAAGAGAGAAUGGAGAGGGGAAGAGCUCGGCACUCUGCUAGGUGGAAGGGGCUCCCUGCAAAAUGUCAAGGAGAUUCUGUAAAAGAUGAGCAAGUCACGAAUUUCUUCUUCUCCAUGUGGGAAUAAAAUUUAUUUCAGGUUAUGGACUAUGCAGUGGACCGCGGGUUAGUUUUUGAAGAAAUGGAGAGCAUCUCUGUAAAAUCGCCAAAAGCAUACGUGUAGCCACGGUAGAAAGCCACGGAGGCCAAAAUUCUCUGGAGGCAGCGAAGUCGAGUGACUUUUAAUCAACCCCGAUGCAUGAGCCGCUGGCUGGUGAGCUUCUUGGAAGCCAAUCGCUGAAUCGCAGUUCAGAGUUCAGACGCUGGACAAUUGGACGCCUUGUGUCGAUGAUGAUCAGUUAGUUGUUUAUUUUCUAUGGAGGAUCCAGGUCUGCUUGCUAGCUAGUGGCACAUUUGGGAUAUCUCGCCAGGUUGAUCAACUCAUGAGUAUUACUCCAUCACUAUUAAUUAAUGAUUGUCUACUUCAUCCAUCAUCUAUAAAACCAAGUACUAUAUCCCCUUAAAACAUUGAAAGUCAUUUAAAUAACCACAUAAGGCGGUUUUACUAGCGUGUCAUGUUACAUGGGUGCUGACAUGGCAGUGGGUUAGCAAACCGUAGGAAAAGUCUACAUAACCCAUAUUAUAUCAAGGUUUAACUAUGUAAAUCCUCUCAAUUAUAAAAGCUAAUAUUAUUGCCGUUAAAACAUUUAUAACGAUAUUCAAAUGACUUGGAUGUUUUGAUAUCGGAUCCCGCUACACUUACCUGAGUACUCAUACUUGUAUGUAGACAUUAGACAUGAGCAUUUUGCGGUUCUGGCCGAGACGAAAAAAAACCUAGUUGUUUCAGGCCAAGAAUAAAUCCCACACAUGGCCGUCUAAUGAGACAUGUUUAACAGAUUUGUGGCCGGGCCUAGGCAGGCAGGCUGUGAAGUUUUGUAAUGUAUAAAAUAGCUAAAAGAAAUAUUUUAGGCUGAGAAUUUUUUUUGUAAACAAUGGAAUCUGUGUUGAGACCCUAUUCAUUAAGACAGUUGGGCUUAUCCGAAUUUGCUCGGGUCUAAUAGGCACAUGUAUUCCCUUCGUCUUCCUAUUCUUUUCGAGGCUUGCUCCUGCGUCCUCGUCGGUUGGAAAAUAAAACUAACAAGAUCAUUUGAUCUUGUGGGUGGCUAAGCAUAACAUGUGGAAUUAAAAAGCGGCAUCCAAAAAAACAAGUUGUAGGCACAUAUAGAGAAGAAUAUAGAUACGAGGAGACGGGUACACUGGCAGAAUUUUUAAGAAACCACAUCUGACAGAACAUAGAAAAGGGGAUGUUGUACGAACAUGCUAUGGACCUUAGAAGAUCAUCAACCUAUAUUCCCAAGCAAUAUGAGAGCAUUUUCAUCACAGGCUUUAGAAUACCAAAUAAUUUCAUCAUGUGGCUAGUUGUCAUAAGACAGUACGACAUUAUUAUAUGAGCCAUCAGAAAACAACGAUAGGAUGAAUAUAGCACUCAAAGCUGCAGUGAAUUUGAAGUACAAAGCAGCAUGCAUGCAUGUUUUUUUUCCUGCUUAACUAUGGGCCAUCAUAAUAUAUAUAUACCUGUACCAACAAAUGUAAAUGUGAUGAAAGAUAUCCUGGAAAGUUCUGGCAUCAGACAAAACAAUAGGUCUCACAUGCAUAUAAUACUUAACUUUGCAUUGAAUGUGGAGCAGGAAGCAGCACAAAGCAAUUUGUGCAUCAGAAUAGCAUUCUAUUUACAUGUAGCUGAAGUUAGCAUAUGUAAAUCAUACCAAAGAUAUUGAGUCUCAUGGUCAGAGGUGAAGCUCCCAAGAGGAGGGAGGGGCAGCAACAAUCUAGCGGAGUCAUAGAGACCAUACAUAGCAACAGAAAGGUCUCUUGUUCCAGAGGGGAUGGGAUCAAAAUCAACGCCCCACUGAACUUUAGAACCGCUGCUAGUUGCGGGGAGAAGGGAACGAAAUCAAAAUGAACGCAAGAAACCCUGACACAAGAUGCACACACGUAUACACAGAAAGGGAAGACAUCCAGUCGUACAGGCACAGGAGGGGAGCAAAUCCGGUCCAGGGGUGAAGCCCUGACGUAGGUUCACGGCGAUGAUCUGAUGGCCACCCGCGCAGGCCGAAACGGCAGGGCUCACCGUUGCUUGGGUUGUCGAGCCAUGGGGGCUACUCGCGCAGGCGGCUAGACAGCCCGUGUCAGUGCAGCGGUGGCACCAGGGCUCAAGGAAGUGACACGAACAGGUGGCGACCGGAGCUGCGGCCGCGGUAGAAGAAGAGGCCACCUGUGCCUCCGGAGUUGGUGUCGAGGCUAGGCCCACAAAAGGGCUUGAGUGUCCGACGCGCCCUGGUUUGCUAUGGUAGCUGCUCCGGGAGCUACCGAUGAUGGGGGCUUCCUGCGCUAGCCACCUGAGUGGGGGACGCGACUCCCAGUGCAUCACUCAAUCUGCCGCCUCGAGUGCUCCCCGCAUUAGUAAGCUGCCCGAUCCAGGGGGCAAGUAGAGAUGAAGAGCGGCACACUAGGAGACAAAAGAGGAAGGGAGGAAAGCCGACAAGAGACGACAUUGCGCAGGGCACGAGGGGGCUGUGUUGGAGGAGCGGGACAGCCAGGGAGGCCUCGGGCUGCACGAGGUCGUGUGGAGGGGAGAGGGGUGCGGCCACUGCCACCGGCACCCUCGUCGGCCGCGCUCACGCCAUGCCGCGGGGUCCAGUGGGAGCAGGGGGCGAAUCUAGUGUGGUUUAUCGGGGUCAGCUGACCCCGACAAAAUUUGUAAAAUCCUUUGUAAAAUAUUGUUUGAACAUAAGAAAAUUUAUAUCAUAUAUAGUGAAGUUGACCCCGAUGACCCCAACGAUGUUUUCGGCUAGAUUCGCCACUGAGUGGGAGGAACGCAGGGGGCGGCCGCAGCAGGCGCCGUUGCCGUCACCAGAGAGAGAGAAGCGGAGAUUGGAGGAGGCAGAGUAGACAUGAAGUGGAGAGGACGGCUUCGGUAAUCAAGCUGAGGUGGCUGAGGUGGAUCAAUGGGAGAGGGAGGAGGUGACAUGUCGCCGAGUUGGACUAAUCAAAAAAAUUUAGGUGACAUGUAUAGGCUGGCUGCGCGGGAAGUAUGUUGCGUUUGUAGAGGUAAAAUUCUCAUGUCGGAAAUCUUUUUCUAACUGGUGUGCUGCGCCUUCAGAUGGGCAGUUUACCAAGGCCCAUCUAUGGGCUGGGCUGGACUGGGCCGAGUCCAACCCGAUGACACCGACCUUGCUGGGCUGGGGCAGUUUGGUCCAAAUGCAUUUUUCUCCCUUUCGCCCUGGUGGGCCCGUGAAGCAGAGAGGAGAGACAACGCCGAUUACCUAGGCCCAGGCUCCUGGGGCUGAUGAAAAGAAAAGAGUACUGUGUGCGUGGGCCCACUGAUCAGAGACGGAAAGCUCCCAAGUCCCACCAAAGCCCAACAAAUCAAGCGUGAGAGAGGGAGGGGGGCGCGUCACGGGCGUGUGUGUGUGGUGGUGGGCCCACUAUGUCAGGGAGAGAAACAUCGGGCAUUCAUUCGUUGGUUGCGCUGCGCCAAAUCUCGCUCGCUUCGCUUCCAACAUCUCCGGCCACGCGUGCUCUGCAGUCUCCGCCCGCCGGCCUCCGACGUCCGCGUCCUCUCAAGGUCUCACCGGAGACCGCGCGGGCUUCGGGUAGAGCGGGAUGGCCUCCGUGGGGUCGGCCGCACGCGAAGCGUACGACGAGGAGGCCGCCGUCCGCCGGCCCCUCGAGCUCGACGGCCGUGACGGCGCCACCGCCUCGUCCUCCGACCACCACCGCCCCGGUGGUGAGCCCGAGGCGCCCUCUUCUGUGGGUCCGUAGCCUUCUGGUUGCCUGGGAUCUGGGGCGGGCUUGCGGUUUUGGGUUCCGGGGCUGGAGGGAAUUUCAGCGUGUCGUUGGAUUUCGUGUGGUGGAACAGGAGAUCGAGCUGAAUUGGGGAGAGGAAAUGGGGGGCGGAGAGCCUGCUUGGCUGAGGUAGCCUGCUCUGGGUUCUGGCUGCUACGGCUGUGCGUCUGGGAUAGUCGGUCGGCGCAAUGCAGUUGCUGUCUGCUGGCUGCAAUUUGGUAAAUUGGAGCUGGGUGAGCGUCUGAGCUAUGCAUGGUGUGAUUCCUAAUAAUGAGUGAAUAGAUGCACAGAGAAGAUAUGCUGGGACAUGAAAGCCACUUCGCGGUUAAAAUGCUGUGCAGUAUAAUCUAGGAAGCUUUUUAGUAGGAUGUUUCUGUUAGCCACAUGUUUUUCGAAAUUCAGGCCAUAAUCCAUUGCUUAAUUAGUUAGUAGUGUGUGUUUUGCUUACCUUGUGUCAGGAUUGUCUCAAAUGGUGUUAGGGUUACCUUAUUGUAGGGAAUGUCAUGCCUAGGUAUCAAGUGGGGACGAAGGGUGAUACAAGUAGUAGACACUCCGAGGAGCGGAGGCAGCCUAGCACAGAUGAUGUGCGCAAGAGCAAGCCUGGGUCGAGAUACUUCACGGCGUUUGGGGUGGAUCUGUCCCCUGAUAAUAUGGCAGUUGCCAUUGUAUAUUUUGUGCAAGGGGUUCUAGGUCUUGCACGGCUUGCUGUGAGCUUUUACUUAAAAGAUGAUCUUCAUCUAGAUCCAGCUGAGGUAUGUGUUGCUCAUUCCUUUUCCUGUCCUCCAUCCAUGUACCAUUUCUGUAUUUAGAUUUUAGAGCUUGUUUCUUGUUCCGUGAUGUAAUGUUUCCACUGUUUAGUUAAUAGGUGCUGUUAAGUGACUGAGAUGGUUUCUUUUAUAUAGACUGCAGUGGUAACUGGUUUCUCGUCCUUGCCAUGGUUGAUCAAGCCCCUCUAUGGCUUUAUCAGGUCUCACAAAACCUCCCACAUCCGUUUCUUUCUUGUGCAUGUGUACACUACUACACUUUAUUUUGAAUCCUCUACUCUUGCCUUUCAGUGAUUCCAUUCCACUCUUUGGAUAUCGAAGAAGGUCAUACCUUUUUCUGUCAGGGUUACUUGGAGCACUUUCAUGGAGUUUAAUGGCCACAGUAGUGAGCAGUAAAUACAGUGCAGCAUCCUCUAUUCUUCUUGGCUCACUUUCUGUUGCCUUCUCAGAUGUUGUAAGUGCAAACUGAAUAUUCUACACUCAAGUUAUCUUGGUCUGUCCUUUAUGCUGAUGAUCAAUAAUAUCAGGUCCUGUCUGUUAUAUUUAUUCAUUCGUUAGAAAUCAUUGAAGUGAUGAUAUGCUCCAGUUGUUUAUUGAUAUUUUCUUGUUCUCCCUCAAUGGCAUAUUUAUGAUAGUAGAUUUCUUAACCCGCUAUGGCAUUAAAUAUUCUCUGUGAACGUGAGAAAUUGGUUGCCUUCUAUACUGAGCUCUUUAUUCUAUUAUAUAUAGUCCAAGUGGCUUGCAUGUCGAGAGAUUGACUUCCAGUGGGGUUUAUGAUUAUAAGAGAUAUAGAUAUAGUCCAAGUGGAUCUGUGGUCAUUGUUCAUACCCCCAUUGUUGGCAUACUUUCCUUUUCAUAGAGAAAAGGUCAAAGAGCAAAUUUGUUUUGAGUUAUCUCAUAACCAAAUUUAACUGAAAAUAAAUACAGGCAUAAGGAAAGCUCUAACAAAUGUCUAGUAGUAUGAAAACAAUGUAAAAAUGCAUACAUGUGCGCGUGCAGGCACAUUGAGAGCAUCGUACAAAAGAGCAGAUACCCCUUCAAACAAGCCCCGAAUCUCCGUUGUUGCAUUGGUUCUUGUAAAUGUUUUUUGUAAAGAAAAUUUCUUUGUUGUGCUUUCCAGCAUGCUUUCAUUUAAAAUCCCUACCCGUUAAUACUGAAUACACCACCAACUAGUCAACUGUUUACGAAUCAUUUACGGUGCAUAUUAACAUGGUGUUUCCUUGUCUUGAUUCCAAAUUUUCAUGCAGACAUUUCUUAAAAACACGUUUUGACAAAAAACACGUUCAUACAAUGCAUCCUUCUAGCUAUUGACACAAUCCAAUCAUAUAUUAUGUAAAGUUUAGGCAUGGAGGCAUCUAAGUGUAUCAAUUUUACAGCACAACCAAGGAAUAAAUGGUCACUAUCCUUAAAGUCAAAACUAUAAAUAAAACACAAGCUCACAUUUAUGACCUCAUUGCUUCCAAAAUUUUCCAUUGGAUUCUUACAAUGUGCAAGCACAUCGACGAGGUUUGGAAUUAGCUUGGGUUAUUUUAACUUAUUUUAAAAACAGUUACUGCAUACAAUAUUUCCACUUCUAGGCUUUUGUCGUUCCAAAUUAUAAGUCGCUUUGACUUUUUUGGUACAGCAAAUUCAAUAUACCAAAAAAGUCAAAGCGACUUAUAAUUUGUAACGGAGGGAGUAGUUUGCAUGGUAGUAAUGCACCUUUCUGGUAAACCAGCAUUGCUACUUCAAGAAAAUGCUGGUUAAUCCCGACAUAACUAUAUCUCCAGUUGAAGUUUUACAUUGUAAGGCUGACCAUCUGAAGUUAUUUUUACAGUGCUAUUCAAAUUAAUCAUUUCAUUAGGGGCCUGUCUAGCCAUAAAACUGGAUGUAUCUGGCCAAGUGUGAUUAAACAUUUAUCCAAGUUUAUGUUUUUGUACAAAAAAAAUAUGAUCAUAUCAUUUCCACCUCAUGUUAGGACUAUAGAACAGGAACUUUUGCAUGUUAUUGCUUCAAGGUUUGUCUCAGCACAUGUGCGAACACUGUAGGUAGUGGAUUCUAUGGUUGUUGAGAGAGCCCGUGGAGAAUCUCAAAGUACAUCUGGAUCACUCCAGUCGCUCUGUUGGGGAUCUUCUGCCUUUGGAGGAAUUGUGAGUGCUUACUUCAGCGGUUCGCUUGUCGAUACUUAUGGAGUAAGGUUUGUCCUACUGUAUCACUACCACUUGAGCUGACACGCGCCCCAUUGUUUUAUAGUUCAGUCUACUGAUGAAAGUAUUCCUGUAAACGCAGAUUUGUCUUUGGUGUUACAGCGUUUUUACCCCUGAUGACAUCUGCUGUUGCAGUUCUUGUAAAUGAACAUCACAUAUCUUCUGGAGAGCGUACUACCUUACUCUCUGGUUCAGGAUUCGUUGAGAGCUCUAAGCAGCACGUCAGGCAGCUUUGGACUUCAGUAAAGCAGCCUAACAUUUUGUUGCCGACAUUGUUUAUAUUUCUUUGGCAAGCAACACCGCACUCAGAUUCUGCUAUGUUUUUCUUCAUGUAUGUCUGAAAAAUCUUUACAGUUUUGAUCUGUGAUGGGUCUUAUCCUGUAUUCCUGUUCAUGGCUUAUUCGCUUACUUUUGACUGUUGCAUUGGAGUUAGUUGUAAUCCAAUAACUAUAACUUUCACAGACUAGAAGACAGGUCUUAGCUUAUUCUGAUUGUGGGAGCUCCUCUAGCUUGUCUUUAUUUGGAGUGGCUACACUAUCAUAGGCUGUAAAAUUGACACAAAAUCAGGAAAAUUAUCUUGCUUCACAAAGUACAAAGCAAAGUAAUGAUUUUGGUUAACUUUGGAUCCUAAUUUUAUACAUGCCAACAAAAUGUUGUUUUUCAUUAUGUUUGGCCCCUUUUUCACUAGUUGUGUAGUAGCAGUUUGAAGGUAUCUACUAAUAUGAUCCCAAACUUUUUUUUGACUGAACAUGGUCUCAAGUCUGUUAUGUUUAUUUUGAUAUUAAAUAAUUAAACAAGUAUGUCAGCUGAUUCAUGCUUGUAGUUUGCAUAUAGUUACCUGAUGCUACUUUUCAUUAUGAGUUGAACUGGCCUAAUGGGAGCAUGCAGGUGCCUUUUGGCCCGGUUAGAACAUGUCAGAUUUUUUUCAGAUUUGUCCUUUUUUUGUGGUGGCUGUGCUGGGAGUCCUUUUGUGCCCUAUAUAAACACCUUACCCACAUAUUGAGGAUGGACUAUUGUUUCAUUUCUGCUUGUCGCUCUUUGGAUCCUCCUGUUCUGUGCACCUGUGUUACCUGUUUGGGUUUUCCAUGCCAAACCUGUCUCUCGUCUGAUUGAUUAUGUUUUUUAUCCAUUGUUCAUUUUAUAAUGAAUAAAUAUUAACUUCUUUUUAUCUGUAAGAAUUUUUAAAUGACCAUUUUUGUGUUCAAUAAUAUAUUUCAGCACAAACAAGCUUGGAUUCACUCCAGAGUUCCUAGGGCGUGUGAAGCUUGUAACCUCUUUUGCAUCCCUGCUUGGUGUUGGGCUCUACAACUAUUUUCUGAAGGAAGUUUCUUUAAGGAAAAUCUUUCUCGCGACAACCAUUAUAGGUUCAGCUCUUGGGAUGACACAGGUGCUCUUUGUAUUAUUUUCUUGAUUGGUGCUGCAAUUCUUUUCUAUUCUUUAAGCAUACUGCUUUGUAUAUAUUUAGGUGCUUCUUGUAACUGGGCUAAAUCGGCAGUUUGGGAUAAGCGAUGAGUGGUUUUCUAUUGGUGAUUCAUUAAUCAUCACAGUCCUUGGUCAGGUAUGUAACAUUACUGCAAUGCUUAAUAAUAGUAGAGUGCAUUUUACAUGAUUGCAUAAAAAAAUGUAUUCAGCCGAUCAUGUACCCUUUUUCCUGACGUAGUGACCCUGUAACGUAGUACUUUUAUAUGCCCAUAAAUUGAGACUGACCACUGACAAUUGAGGAUCAGCUGAUCUUAGUUGUGAAAUGGGGUACCUAUUCUUAGGAAGAUGAUGACUUAUUUUUAGAAGAGAAGUCUCAGCGUCCCAUAUGUACAAUCAGAGCAUCAUUUAUAUAUUAAUAUGAGUUAAUAUCUAGCUUUGACACCUCCUGCUUUCAAUUGUUUCCUUGAAUGCAAGCUUAUGUUGCCUAAACUUUUUUGUAGGCUUCAUUUAUGCCAGUCUUGGUGUUAGCUGCAAAAUUGUGCCCUCCAGGAAUGGAAGCCACUUUAUUUGCAACUUUGAUGUCCAUUUCUAAUGCUGGAAGUGUUACUGGUGGUCUGGUUGGUGCUGGUCUAACUCGGAUAUUUGGGGUCACUAGGGACACCUUUGGGAAUCUACCUCUAUUGAUUGUCGUCUGCAAUCUUAGUUCACUGCUGCCCUUACCUCUUUUAGGUCUCCUGCCAGAGGAAUCAGGUGACACAGAUAAUGGAGAAACAAAGAAUAACUGACUUCCUGAGGGUUUUAUCUCUGUUUGUUCUGAUUCUCAAGUAUAGCAUACCACAGUGCCCAGUUUCAAUUCAUAUAUGGCCCAUCCAGUUGAAGUUCAAAAGAUCAGUAGGGAAAUAUGAAAAUCAUACUGGGUUACCAUUGUCAUCAGCCAGUAUCUCCUGUGACUAUUAACCUGUGGUCGAAGUGAUUCAUUGGUGAUCUGAAAGUGAUCUAUGAUGCUAUGGCGCACAGGUACUCACCAUUUUUUAGUUUCUAUAAGCUACCUUGUUAGCUAAUGCGACCCCAUGAAAAUUAGAGUAGGGGUCAAAGACUAGUAGUUGAGGAUUCCCUUACAAAGUCGAAUGUAUUGUAACAAAAAUAAGGAGGAAGUAUUUAUACGUUAAGGAAACCUAGAAUACGGACAUGUAAAGAAAAAUACUUGCACACAGUUCGAAUUGCCAUGCAGUAUCAGAUUCUGCUUACAUCACCAGGCCCAAACAAAGUGCAAUCACAGUCGCACACUGUCAUGGGCAUAAAGAGGGGCGCCAUAGGGCGCAAGUGUCUUAAUUGGGCCUUAAGCCCAUUAGUGUUAAUUAGUGUCUCUCUUAGUUAUUUGUCUAUAGGAAUAGUACCAUAUUGUCUAGGCACAAGAGGUGUUAGUCCUAUGUACCUUUUAUAUUCAGCCCAUGGGGCACAAUGGAAAGCAAGCAAUGAAUUAUGAAGAAACAAUUCUAGUCUCCCUCAAUCUCUCAAGCUCUUGGCAAAGCAUAAGGCCUAGUUAUCCCAAAGCUCUUGGCAAAGCAUAAGGCCUAGUUAUCUCCUAAAUAUCCAUCAUCAUAACAUCUGGUAUCACGAGUCUAUCGAUCCAUCCACAGCUGCUGUCAAUCCUCCACAUAAAAAUAAAUCAAUCCAGAUCGCCGGUCGAUCCAUCUUCCACGGCCAUCCACCACCACAGCCCCCAGGCGCCGCGCCUCCCUCUCCAUCAGCCACCGCCAACAGCAACUAUCCCGUCGAUCCCCUUCGUUUCCAAAAAAAAAAAGAGAUCACCCGAUCCUGUCAGCCAGCAGCAGCGUCACCUCAACCCUAACCACGCCGCCGCCGCUGCCCCACUACGCGCCGCCACCACCACAGCCCAAUCCCCACCACCAUCUCGUGCAGCCACAACCCUGCUUCUAGCCGCUGAGCCAACUCUCUGAUCCCGAUCCGAUCAGCACUGUCCGCCGCCGAUCCAGCAGGCGCGACCUCGACCCGUCAACGCCCGUACAUGAUGGAGUUCCCGCAGUUUGAUGGAACCUCUGAUCCGGAGGCCUUCAUCAACCAGUGCGAGCUCUACUUCCGUCGGGAGCGCAUCAUGGUGGAAGAACGGGUAUGGCUAGCUUCUCGCAAUUUGAAAGCUGAUGCCCGCGAUUGGUUCCGCCAAGUCACGCAAGAUGAAUACCCGGCAUGGCGUCGCUUCACCGAGCUCCUGCAGCAGCGCUUCACACCAACUCUGCGCCCCAAUCCACUCCACCGGCUGUCCCUUGGUGUCGACAACUGCUUGCGCAGCCUUGCGGAGAUAACCGCACAGCUGGAUCGCCUCCGAGUGCGUCUCGAGAAGGAGGACCGUGAACGCCGGGCAGCUGUACGUCUCCAAGCAGCAGCACAGGGACUCCUGGCACGUCGCCGAGCGCAGGCUCUUCGUGCCACAAAAGCAUCGAAGGAGCAAGCAACGGUGCGCCUCCAGGCAGCAGUGCGAGGAAUGCUUGUCCGUCGCAUGGUGCGGCAGAUACGCAUGCUCCUCAGCUCGACGUUGUCGUACGUGUUCAUCCACUCGGACUCGCCGAUACGGUUUGCGGCUCCAAUUGCAGUGGAGGUCCAAGUAUGGGCGUUUCCAGUGCAGCGAUCUCGCAUCAGCAUCCAGCAUCAGGCAUCAAAGGCUAUCUCAUUCAUCCUUGUGUCUGCCGUGGUGUUAGACAUUUUCAGCAUAAGAGCCAGCUGCUUCACACUCCACCCUUCAGCCUACGUGAAGCCAACAGAGGCACUCUUCCCAUGGGAUCCAGGUGGAUAUCCUUGUAUUUUAGUCUUCAAUAAAAAGGGAAAGCCGAGAUGUAAAAGGCUUAACCCUAUUUCGCGUCAGCUCUCCAGCUCGAGGACGAGCUGGGUCUUCAAGGGCGGGGGAGAUGUCAUGGGCAUAAAGAGGGGCGCCAUAGGGCGCAAGUGUCUUAAUUGGGCCUUAAGCCCAUUAGUGUUAAUUAGUGUCUCUCUUAGUUAUUUGUCUAUAGGAAUAGUACCAUAUUGUCUAGGCACAAGAGGUGUUAGUCUUAUGUACCUUUUAUAUUCAGCCCAUGGGGCACAAUGGAAAGCAAGCAAUGAAUUAUGAAGAAACAAUUCUAGUCUCCCUCAAUCUCUCAAGCUCUUGGCAAAGCAUAAGACCUAGUUAUCCCAAAGCUCUUGGCAAAGCAUAAGGCCUAGUUAUCUCCUAAAUAUCCAUCAUCAUAACACACACACAGGAAACUAUAGCACAACAGAAGUGCAACAUCCAUCGUCCUUAAUAACUCACUGAAUUUUGCUGUGCCAAGUACUGGUAUCUAUCACUGAAUUUUGCUGUGCCAAGUACUGGUAUCAAUGAUAAAUUGAUAAUAGACGGUAUGUGUAUAACCAUAGAUCUAUCCUUUGAUGUUUGUUUGGACUUUGGACUUUGGAGGUUAACUUGAAAUAUGAUUUCAAUUUUAUUGGCAAGUUGAAUAAGAGUUAAGUAACAACAUUGGAAUCAGUGGAGUGUAAAAAAGUAAAAGACAGACUGAAUAAAAAAACAUCCAGGAACCUGUGUGUUUCUCCUUUGACUGUGUGCUCAGUGCUCCUAUAGUUGAUAUUUAUCCAUGACUACGAUCAGUUAAAUUAUAGCAUGAGGAAUCAUUACAUGCAACUGUGGCUGUCUAGUUCAUUACUGAAUUUUAUGAUAUGAUGAAUCAGUCCAAAAUUUCAGAAUCAGGUAGAAAUACAUGGUCUAUUCGAACAGGUUCCUGCAUGGUAAUGGAGAAACAGCAUAAAUGAUCGUAAUACUCUGAUUAUUCUGCCUGUGUUGCUCUUGGGAGUCUUGAGACGUCAGAGUGUAAAACAAUGCCACUUGGUUACAUACAGUAGACAUCAUCGAGAGCAAUGCAUUCAGGUUUCAGUCAACAUCAUGUUCUUGCAACAGUGCACCACAUCACAUCACAUCUUUAUUCUAUAUCACAAUCGGGUCCAUGUAGGCAUAUGCAUCGUGUCAGCAUUCCAGCCUAUGUUUCCAUAGUUUAAGUGCUCGUCUAAUCAGCAUUUUUGGAUUAUUAUGCCACAUGAAGGAUCCUGACUGGCUUCUAUUUCCAUUGCAAUUAUGGGUCAACUCUGAACUGCAACGUUUUCUUUUUCUGAUAAAAUGGCUGGAGAUUUUGUUUCCCGAUCCGAUUUCUGAUCUCAGAUCCAGCCUUUUCCAGCCAUAUCCCUUUUUUUCAAAAACAUAGUUUCUUGGCCGUCACCAUUCACAAGCAUCUUAGGAUCCUUCAUGUAAGUUUAAACUCUAAUCAUGAACAACUAUGAAUUCAUUACAAAUUGUAGUUAUACAACCGGUACCUUUCUUCUUUAUGAAAUGACACGUAGUUCUCUUGCAUCGUUCAAAAAAAAGGUACUUGUCUCGCUGUCUGUAUGAUGUCCUGACGUUGACAAGUGGCGAAUCAAACCUGGGCCUUGUUUAGUUCACCCCAAAAACCAAAAAUUUUUCAAGAUUCUCUGUCAUAUCGAAUCUUACGGCACAUACAUGAAGCAUUAAAUAUAGAUAAAAAUAAAAACUAAUUACACAGUUUACCUGUAAAUCACGAGACGAAUCUUUUGAUCCUAGUUAGUUCAUAAUUAGACAAUAUUUGCUAUAAACAAACGAAAGUGCUACAGUACCGAAAUCCAAAAACUUUUCGCAUCUAAACAAGGCCCUGCUCUAUUUUACUGUUAAGCAUUUUAUUUCAUUUUAUCAGAAGAACUCAGGAUAUGGUGGUUAUUAUUUAUCUGCUCUGUGCGAAAGCAUUUUUAAGCCAUGUGCCAACAAGUUUGGAUCUGUAGUUAUCACUUGCAAGUUGCAACCAAAACUAGCUAGUAAUAACUUGCGAGGAACUGUAAUUUGUGUUUCAUGUUACUUUGCGUUUGAUCAGGCCGGUCAGAGUUUUACAAAUGGGUUCACGCCUUCGUCAUGAAUGUUACUUGAUUUUCAAAAGAAAUGAGUCAAGGCCCGGGAUAAGAAUGUAAGAUGAGUCAUUUGUAUGCUGAAUGCAUCAUCCGCUCACAUUUAUCUAGUCUGUAGAAGCAAUAAUUUCUAGUUUAAGAACCAAAGACCAGUCUUUAGCGAGCGUGUCAAAGUCAGACCACCGAGAGAACAAGGGCCUGUUUGGAAAAGUUUAGUCACAAAAUUUUAGAUCACUUUAACUCUUGGGGCUCUAAAUUGAAAGUGUGAAGUGCUAUCUAAAGUUUAGCUAAUCUUAUAAAACUUUAGUCCACACAAGUGAGCUAAGUAGUUUGACCUUGUUUCAAUGUUGUAGUAUUAAGAAACUAUAGUAUCAAAAAACUGAACUUUGAGAACCAUUAAUAUGCAAAACCGUGGUUUAGAAAAAAAAAGAAGGUCUAGAGUAGAGUUUUUAAAACUCUAAAAAAAACUAUAGUUUCAGCAAUACAAUGGUAUUCAAAAUCAUUAAAUUGUUGCACCCAAAUAUUUCAUGGCACUUUAAAACCAAAGUAUUUCGCAAAACUAUAGUAAUUUUCUAAAACCCUCAAAAUACUUUGUAUCUAGAUAGGACCUUGAAAAAUACUUUGUAUAUAGGACCUUGAAGUUUAGUCCCUCACUUUAGUCGUGGAUGAUUUUCUAAAAAAAGAAAAGAAAAGGAGUGGUAGGACUGGUAGCAUUGGCGUGGUUGUCUCUAGCAGGUGGGGGCAUGUUGGGUUGUGGUUGCCGUUGCCCGCCACCACUCGCGGGUAGAGUGACGUGUAUGGCCUCCCCAAUGCAAAUGGAGCACACGUCACAUCUUAACGUGUGCGCUUUCUUAUCCUACUACGAUCCUACUGUCCUCUCUCUCUAGCCUCUAGACAUGCACCACUUGCCUUUGUUUCUUCUUUUGCUUUUUCUCUCCCUCCCUCACUUCCUCUUUUUACCUCGUGCAAUCUUCAUUUCUCACGUUUCAAACUCCAAGCUAACCCGACCACGACUCCAUAAAAUUAGAGGUCAACUAAUAAGGUUGGCAUAUCUUUAUAUAUAGACGCUUACAUGAAAAAAAAUGUUGUAUAACUUUGUUUUUUCUGCAAAUAAAGACUUGUUUAGUUUGUGAAUUUUUUUGGAUAUUACAUCAGAUAUGUCAGCACAUAUUUAAAGUAUCAAACAUAGAUUAAUUAAAAAUAAAUUACAUAGCUCGCCUAAACUACGAGACAAAUUUAUUAAGCCUAAUUAAUUCGUUAUUAGCACAUGUUAGUUAUUGUAGCAAUUAUAGUUAAUUAUGGAUUUAUUAGGCUUAAAAGAUUUGUCUCAAAAUUUAUAAACAAACUGUACAAAUUAGUUUUUUUUGUCUACAUUGAAUAUCUUAUGCAUAUGUCAAAAGAUUUGAUAAUAGGUAAAAAAAUUUAGGUGGAAAACUAAACAAGCCUAAACCAAAUAUAGAAUGAGCUCAUCGUCUCAAUCUUUAGCUUGUUAAUAAACGAUCGAGCCGAGCUCGUUCUAAGCCUUACAACCACUUGCGCCUAGUUACGCUCAAGACCUUGGCUCGUUUGUGAUUUGAGCUGGGCUUGAUCGAGUCUAAUAGAGUAAUGGUACAUUUGGUACCUAUUUAGAUUCUUAUAGAAACGUUUCAAUUUUAGAUUUUUUAAGAAAUGUUUUAGGUGAUCAAUAAGUAUCAUUUUGUGAGAUCAUUUGGCUGGUAUGCAUGUUAGAUCCUGGUUGACAAGAAUAUUUUUUUAGAAAUUCAUAUAGAUAAAAGUAUGCUUCAAAAAACCUUAUAUUUUUUGGCAAAGAACCACCUAAAUUCAACUCAUUUUAAUUUAUUGCAUCCAAAAAACUAUUAACAAAUAAAAUACAAUUGUUAAAAGAGAAGGGAAGCAAAACAAAUGGUAGUAGAAUCACCGCGAAAACUUCAUUUAGCCGAAUCCAAAUUUCUUUUUUUGAGGAAAGAAUCCAAAUUUCUUUGUAUCCAAGAACACUUGUUAGCUAAAUAUUUUCACAUAGCAAGGAUUGUUUGGGCUUCUAAAAACUUUUGGCUCUGUUACUAGUUGGAGCCAAAGUUGUUUUGAUCAAAAUAUUUGACUGAACCCCUUCUCAGGUAGAGACAUGGCAAAUGUCCAGAAAGCUGAUAUAGAAGCUUGUUUUUUAGCUUCAUGCGCAGCACGUCCCUGUGAGAACUUUUUUAGAACCCCCGCGAGAGGAGUUGUGAGGCUAUGUCAAAAUUGGUCCUCAUCCUUUAGGCCUUGUUUAGUUGGUAAAAAAUUUUAAAUUUGGUUACUGUAGCACUUCAUUUGUAUUUAACAAUCUAAUCAUGAACUAACUAGGCUCAAAAGAUUUAUCUCAUAUCUAUAUUUAAUACUCCAUACAUGCGUCCAAAGAUUCGAUGUGACGAGAAAUCUUGAAAAAAUUUGAGAAAUUUUCGGAAACUAAACAGGGCCUUAGUUUUGGCAAGACCGUCCACUUCCGCAGGUAUGAAAGAGCAGAGAAGAUAAAGCUUUGUUUGGAUUCUAGAUAAUAACUAUGUGGUAAUAGUUAUCUUCUUUAGAUGUAAAUAAGUGUAACUAAUAAAAUAGCUAAUUAAUAGUUGGAUCUCUAAAUAAUAACUACUAUCUAGUUGGACCGAAUUAGAUAAUAGCAGCUAAUAGUUACCUUAGUAGCAUUAUUCAUUAGUUGUGCAUCCAAACAUCCUCUAGCUAAAAGCUAAUAGGUAGCUAAUAUUAGAUAGGAGUAUUAGCCAGUUAACUAUUAGUAAAUAAUGAAUUCAAACAUGACCCAUAAUUAGGGUUGUUUGGAAACUUCUUUUAUGUCCUCAUUUUGCUCCGUCGGUUCCGCAAGGCCCAAGUCAACCCUGCAAAAUUAAAAAAAAAAUGGAUAUAUGUUGUGGGAAAUACACUUCCACGAUAGCCAGCUUCCCAUGAAGCCAGCUCUGAGGAUGCACCAUGCUAAUGAUAAUAUUUUCUGGUUCUCCACAUAGGCAACAUUUGAUGUUCCCUUUCCAUCCCGCAAGCACAGUAGCUGGGCGUUUAUUUGUUGUUCAAAGGUUACCACAAAAACACAUUUAUUUCCAUUGGAAGUCUAAUUUCCAAAAAAAAAGGAUAUAUUUUACUGAUGAUCUGGCAGUAAACAUUUAUACUUUUCCAGCUCCCAGCCAGCAAUAUUAUCAUAUCCUAGCUUAAGUUGGUAGUUUAUUUCCUAGUUUAGAGACCAGUUUUUCCCAACCUAAAAAUUCAUCAGUAGUCAAAGUUCUGAAGCUCAAGUUCCAGCCCUCUUGCUUCGGAAUACCGGCCACCAUAUAGCUCGAUUAUAUGUCACAAAUUCUGAAUAAUCCAUAGAGUUUAAUUUCAAUUUUUAAAGGGACAAUAUAAAGGCAAUCAUCAUUCCGGAAAAAGUUUUUUGCUCGAUCCUUCACCUUGAAUAUAACUCCCCAUUUAAACAGAUGCUUAAUUUUGUUUUGUGUUUGGAAGUGAAAAAGUUCCCAUGCUGCAUAUAAUUUAGCAAGGAGAAUUUUAUACCAAGUGUCUUCUGAUUCAUUCACAAUUUUCCGAAUCCAUUUAAUAAGAAAGCACUCAUUCGUUUUCUUAGUAUUAACAUCACUCCUAAACCUCAUUGGUCUUUAGGUCUAGUGACUAUUUCUCACUUAGCCAUAUGAUAUCUAAAUUUAUAUUUAUCUCCCUAUCAAAAGAAAAUUGAUCUGAUAGAAUCAAUCUUUUGGCGUGUACCGUUGGUCAAGAGAUGGGAUCCCAUUGUGUAGGUAGGCAAGCAUGAGUUAAUUAUUUUUCCCUUUUUCAAGGAUCUAGUAUAUCUUCCGAUGUACUCCCUCCAUCUUUAUAUUUUUGCAAGACCCAACGCAGAUGCUUAUAUAUACGAGCAUACACUCACCUCUAUGAACGCACGCACGCACACUCUACCCCCUAUCAGCAUCUCCGAAGAACCGAGUUGGACCGGCAAAUCUUGAGAUUGACGAAAUCACCGUAGGCGUUUCGCUGUCGACGGGCACGUCGACGACCACUGAAAGCAUAGCGCCGUUAAAUCCUAAAAUAAAUCUAAAAAAAUACGAACACCCCUGUCAAGUCGGAGACUUGAACCUAGAGAAACCCAACCAACUGAUAGGAUGUCUCUAUUUUUCCCCCCAAUCCCGAAUGAAGUUACCAUAGUGAACUGUUGGAGAAAUAUAAUUUAUCCUAUCAAAAAAUUAAGAUGAUAAGAGUAUCUCUAAGAGUUUUCUAAAAUCCACACUCUAAAUUAUUAUUUAGAGAGUUAUUUUUAUAAAAUUCACUUUCUAUAUCUUUCUACUUUCUAAUAAUAUCUUUUCUAUAUCUUGUCCAAUUUUAAAAGUUGCUAGAGUGUAUUUUUUUUCUCACCAAAAUCUUUAUUUCUUUAAUUAGGAAGGAUAGAGAUAGUCUAAGAGUUGUUCUAAGUAAUUUUAAUUUGGACAUGCUCUAGUGAUAGCCUUGCAUGUAAACGCCAAUCCAGGUCUUAAACAUGCUCUAGUGACAACCUUGCAUAUAAUUAAGAAAACAGAUUUUAAAUAGUUACCAGUACUUGACCUUGCAUCCAGGUCAUAGUCACCUUGUUCAUUUGGCUGAUAAGCUAUGAUAGAAAGUACUAAUUUGUUGUGAGAGAAAAACACUGCUGAAUGGCUAGUAGAUUCGGCUGAUAAACUCAAACGAAUAAGAUAGCAAAAGGUUCGAUUCAUCGUCAACCGAAUAAACAGUGUUUUUCUCUCCCAGUUAAAUUUCCUCUCAUGACAUUUCAACAUUUCAGUAUCAUUAAUCAACUCUCUAAGCAAACUGAUCUAGAUCAGGUGGUUAAGUUUGUUGUGGUGGAACCUGUCCACUCAAGUUUAAGAUCCUAACUUUACGGGUGCUCGUAUUUUUUUGAAUUUAUUUCAUAAUUUAACAGCCAUAUGCUUCUAGUAGCAGGCGACGUUUCCAUCGACAUUGAGACGCCUAUGGUAACUUCGUCAACCUCGAAAUUUGCCAGUCCAAAUUCGGUUCUUCGACACCUAUGGCGACUUUGUCAAUCUCGAGAUUUACUAAUCCAACUCAGUUCUUCAGAGAUGCACAUAGAUAUAGAAUAUACAUAUAUAAACAUCUACGUCUAUAACUAGGUCUUGCAAAAAAAAUAUCAAACUCCAGGAUCCUAAUCCCUAUCAAGAGAGGCUUCCACCUUAUUUUUUUACAAAGAAAAAAAAAAAGAGAGAGAGCCAAAAUAAAAUCUGGGCCCCACAGUUUUCCCGCACAUCCCAGCGCUUCCGAUUCUCUUUCUCCCCUCCUCCGUCCGCCCUCCGGUUGUCUUCCUUCUCCAAUUCCCCCCACCCAACAACGCACCCCCACAACCAGACGAGCACGGACGGACCUCCGCACCCCGCACCCCACGACGAGCGCCAAUUCCGAAGCGCCGCCCCCUCGAUCCGCCCGGCCCGGCCCUCCCCACCGCGCCCUUGCGUCCGCCAGCCACUACCGUUCCCUCCCUACCGUUUGCCGUCGCCCUCUUCCUUCCGGCGCCGGCCACACCCCCGACGCGGCGGACCAAAACCAACGCCAUGAGGGUCCACCCGGCCCCGCGGAAGCGCACCAUCGCGGUGCAGCGCUGCGCCACGGCGGCGGCGGCGGCGGGCGCGGUCGGCGGGAAGAAGCUGCGCCGGCUGCCGCACAUCUUCGCCAAGGUGCUGGAGCUCCCGUUCGCGGCCGACGCGGACGUGUCCGUGGAGGAGGACGCCGCCGCGCUGCGGUUCGUCGCCGCCGCCGUCGUCGACGUCGACGGGUUCUCCUUCUCCCCCGCGGGUGGCCCCCGCGCGCACGCCGUCGAGAUCCACCCGGGGGUCACCAAGGUCGUCGUCCGGGGCCUGUCCUCCGGCGCCCACGAUGACGACGACGAUGGGGCAGCCGCCGCCUUCGAGCUCGACCGCUGGCGGUUCCGCCUCCCGCCCUGCACGCGCCCCGCCAUGGCCACCGCCACCUACGCCCAGGGCGAGCUCGUCGUCACCGUCCCCAAGGGCGCCGGCCCCGACGACGGCGACGGCGAUGCGGCCGCUGCUGCCCUCGGUGGCACGGACCGCGUCCUCGUGCUUGUAUAGUCCUAUAAUCCCAUUCCCAUCCAUGACUCUUCUCGACUUCGCCUGUUUUGCUGAUUCGCCUCCUGUUUCUGUUUUCUACUACUGCUAAUAUCAAUAUUGAUAUCACGCGCGAGAUGAUGAUGAUGAUGAUAAACAGAGCAGUUAGAGUAAUAAUAAUAAUGCCUGUGGAUCCGCCUUUGCUGCUAAUUCUCCGUCCAAACUUUGUCAUUUCAUUGUGCACUUUGUCAGCAGUUUCUCCAGCUUUAAUAAAAACACUUGUAGCAUGCAGUUCAGCUCAUGCUGAUGAGCCAUUGCAGGUGCAGCGCUUGGUAACCUUUUCAGCAUGAAAUUCCAUUGCAGCAUAGCAUACUUUGCUUCAAACAGCCCGUUGAUCAUGUUUUUUAAGUACAAACUGUAGAUCUGUUUAGUGAGGUGGUUUCAUGUGAGAUUGAGAACAACUAACUUGAGAUUUUUGGUAGCAAGUUUAUGGUUCUAAUGCUGAGUUUGACUCUGAAUUAUUCAAUGCUGGAGCCCGGAGUCCCCCACCAAAUUUUGCAUCUCAUGGCAUCAUCUAAGAGACAGGCCUGUUAGUUUGAGCUUAUCUGCUGAAUCUGCCAGCUAUUCAGCUGUGAUUUUCUCUCACAAUAAAUCAGCAGUGAACGGUAUUUUCAGUCAUGGCUUUUCAGACAAGCGAAUAUUCAGGAGUUGUUUAGUUCAUGGAAUGAAGUGAUCUAUUAUCAUCUCACUCUCUAGUUUUUUUUUGGUUUAGUUUGUAGAAUAAAAUAAGUUGAUUCAUCACCACCUUAUUCCUCAUAAACUCAUAAUUUGUACCAGUACAAAGAAUAGGGUUAUUCCACUAAAAUUGAGGAAUGGACCCAUGGUACAUCACCCUAUCUAGAGUGGAUUGAUUUAUCAAACAAACACUCCAUUAGUGUGUUGGGUUGUACUUGUGUAGCAGGUUUAAUCAUAUAUGUGCAUCUGCAGCUGUUGUGCUGAAUGGAUGGAUGGACAUGAUUGUGUUAGCGAUUUGGAGGUUAAGUGGUCACCGGUUUAUUCAAUCAAGUUUGAUUUUUGUUAUUAUCCCCUUGUCUGUAUCUCAAGCCUGGGCGCUUGGGUCACAGUCUCGUCAAAUUUAUGUGUAUUUAUUUUCAUCUCGUCAAAUUUUCUUUGGUGAUGCCGGUCAGUCAAUCACCAAUCCACUCAAACAACACAUCUACACAUUCAGAGUUUGUUUUGCACGCACCAUAACAGAAAUAUUCUUAGGUUCCAUACAACAUGCAAUAAUUGCAUCCUCAGGGGGCCAUAGAGCGCGCAUCCAAUCAAACUAUUGAGCAUAUAUAUUGGUCUACAUUUCCUUGUCAACUUUAUCCUAGAUUGUAUUCACUGCUUUUUUUAUCACAUCUUUUGCUUUCCGGAGAUGCUCUGCUUGCUUGUCAAACCUGGUAACCUCUACUUGAGUCUUAACCCCACCUGAAUCCCUUUCGUUUAGGUGAUUGGAGGAUUUUUGAAUGAAAAGGUGAUUGAAGGAUUGAUUUUCUUUGUGGGUAAAAAGUAGCUAGGUAUUCUGGUGCUCCAAAUAUUAGUCUUUUUUUUUUGUGAAAAGAAACUACUCCCUCUAUCCUAAACUAUAAGUCAUUCAAAGAAUCUUGGAGAGUCAAAGCGUCUCAAGUUUAACCAAAAUUAUAGAAAAAUUUACAAAGAUUUAUGAUAUCAAAUAGAGACACUAUGAAAAUAUAAUUAAUAAAGAACCUAAUGAUACUUAGUUAGUAUUAUAAAUAUUAUUAUCUUAUUCAUAUAAAUUUAGUCAAAUUUGAGAUGCUUUAACUCUUCAAGAUUCUUGAAAUGACUUAUAAUUUGAGAUAGAGAGAGUACUACCUAGGCUUUCUGGUGCUCCAAAUAUACCUGUCCACUAGUUCAACCCCUUUGGAGUUUGUUUAUUUUCCCCCCUUUCAGGAUUAUUUUUGUGCAUUCUUUUUCCUAGGAGGAUGAACUUAUCCUCGGAAAAAGAAUGAACUUAGCCUAGGAGGAGGAUGAGCUAUUGUUUAGCUCACUUCUGGUGCUGUGGUAAACACAAAUUUUGAUUAAAGUUGGAGCUACCAUUUCUUUUCCAUUUCUCUGCUAAGUGCCCCUUCGAAAACGUUGUCCUUUUCUUUUCUUCCCCAUGAAUUACGCGGGAACUCUUGAAGAAUGCGUUUCACUGAAUUCUGCUGGAAAUUUUUGCAGAAUUCCUUUGUUCCAACAGGUGUCUGCCUGACUGUUUAAUCCGCGCAUGUUCAUUUGAUCGGGUUUUUUACGCUGUUUCUGCUUCCAGUUAGUUAUCAUGCUCCUGCCUCGUUGCCAAUGUGCAGCUGCUAAAAGCAUUUGCACACAUCGCCGUUCUCCCUUUUUCUUCAGUAAACACACGGGGAGGUUUCACUUUUGUUCUCCUACAACUUUUCUGAGUGGAGUGCAGGUGCAGGCGAUCGGUACCGAAAAUUUUCAGAGAAACGCCCUGCAUCUGCACCCAUCCCCAUCUGCUGGUGCGACUUUUUGGUGGUGCGAGACGAGGACGAGGACGAAACGCCUUGCAGUCAGUUGCGUUGCAAAAUCCUUGUUUAGUUUCGAAAAUUUUUUGGUUUCGGUACUAUAGCAUUUUUGUUUUUAUUUAGUUAUUGUCUAAUUAUGGACUAACUAGACUCAAAAGAUUCAUCUUAUAAUUUACAGAUAAACCGUGCAAUUAGUUUUUAUUUUUGUCUAUAUUUAAUGCUUCAUACAUAUGUCGUAAGAUUCGAUGUGACGAAGAAUCUUGAAAAGUUUUUGGUUUUUUGGGUGAACUAAACAAGGCCUCGAGGUGACAGAAUGCUUUCAUCCAGUCAUUUCCUGGGAGGUGAACAUUUCCAGUCAUUGGGAACAUUCUUGCUUUCCCUAGUCGCCGUAGUAGACGCCAUAGAGAAUCUUGAAUCAACUGGACUACAACGCCUCAUUUUUUUUAUAUAUAUUUUACCUGCACUAGAAUGCCUGAUUUUUACAGCGACCAAAGUCCAGCCGUCUCACAUCCACCAGGAGCAGUUGUUUUUUUUUUCCCCCACUGAGGACAUGCAUGAUGUAAAGACGGGGAAUGAUGAUGAUGCUCGGGUCGGGUUGGGCACGGGUCAUGCGGAAAAAAACGUCGGAUUUCUUCUGGCCCGAUCUGAAGCAGGCCCAGCCUGAAGUAUGAUCAGAUCUAUUUCGCACGGUUGAUCUACUCACGUGAACAGUGAACUCAUAUUUUACUCUGAGUUCAUGAUUCAUGGUAUUUAAGGCUAGAAAACGCAUACAUAGAGUAUUAAAUAUAAAUUAAAAAAUAACUAAUUGUAUAGUUUGUCUGUAAUUUGCGAGACGAAUCUUUUGAGCUCUAGUUACUCCAUGGUUGGAUAAUAAUUGUUAAAUACAAACGAAAGUGCUACAGUAGCUGAAUCCAAAAAAAAUUUAUGAACUAAACAAGGCCUUAGUGAAUUACCUCUGCAGCUAAGAAUACUCCCAUUGAAACUUCCUUUCCCCACUACCAUACCCAAUGCUGAUUUAGUUAAGAUUAUUUUUUGGUGACAUACACUUAUAAUUUAAUUCAUGUAAUUUAUAUAGGUACUCCUCGAUUAUAAGACGCUUUCGUUUUUCUAGUCUAGAUACAUAGCUUUUAAUAUGCACUUUAGUAUACAUUAUGUCUACAUUGUAUAUAUAGAAACAUCUUACAAUUUAGAACGGACGGAGUAAAGUUUUUUUUGGAAUAUGGAGGGAGUAAAGAUUUGUUAUAAUGAUAGGAAAGUGCAAAGGUCAACAGAAUAUUGCAUUGAGAAUACCGGUUCACAUGAUAAUCAUUCGAGAUACCAGCAUGGACCAGACCUUGAUAACGCCAUUCCAAAUCUGUCUUUAAUGCACAUUGCUUUAAGUCGCCGUAGACGCUGAAGACUUUGAAGAGAAUCUUGAAUUACCUGUAGUAGAAUGUUUGGUUUUUACAUGGAGUAAAGACCAGGCGUCUUGCAUCCGCCGGGAGCAGAUUUUUUUCUUUUCACUGAGGACCUGAUGCAAGGACUGAGGAUGGUGACUUCAUGUUUGUCAGAUUUAUUGUAAGAGAAAAUUAAUAUUAACUGACAGAAAAAAUAUGACUUAUACUACAAGCGGACGGCUUUAAUUUCAGUUAUUAGGCCAUGUGCCCGUGUUUGAAUUGCAGUCUAAUUAGGUACCUAGUUUUAGACAGUGUUCUAGUUCAGUUGCUACCACGAUUUGUCUACCUAACUUCUUAGUCAAUUGCCCUAGUUUUACUGCACAGUUUUGUCUACGGUGGUAAAUUUUCAGCAACAAUUUACUCGACAGUGUUCAGUUGCUAUCAUGAUUUAGUCUGUCUAACUUCUUUGUCAAUUAUCCCACUUGUUGUAGUAUGAGUUUUCUUGCUCAAAGAUGUCUAAGAUUAGGUGGUCAAUUUCUUGCCAUAAAAGUGUGGCAACUAAUAUUAACAGUCAUGCAACAAAGUUUAGCUAACUUAUCACAUGUUUAGUUCAACUUCUAGAAAGUGCUUCCAUUAUUUAAAAGAAAAAGAAUGCUAACCAAACGGAUGAGAUCAGAAAUUGCUUUUUCAAGAGCCAUUAUUCACGUAGACACAUAGUACAAAUGUCGCAGCACCUUAGACCCUAUUUUAUGCUUUCGUCUUUUUGAAAAGGAUGAAAAUAGAGAAGAUGUUUCACAAUGAUUCCAAGGGAGAUAGAGAAAGGGAAUAAUUUUCAACAACUUUUUUAUAGCUCAUUUUUUUUGGCAGUCCACAAUUUACAACAUUUUCACAACACGUACCUCCGUCCCAAAAUAAAUGACGUCUCGCUUUGUGAGAAACAACUUUGAUUAUAUAUAUAUAUAUAUAUAUAUAUAUAUAUAUAUAUAUAUAUAUAUAUAUAUAUAUAUAUAUAUAUAUAUAUAUAUAUAUAUAUAUAUAUAUAUAUAUAUAUAUAUAUAUAUAUAUAUAUAUAUAUAUAUAUAUAUAUAUAUGUGUGUGUGUGUGUGUGUGUGUUAAAAAAUAUUAAUACUUAUAAUAUACAUAAUUAGUAUUAUCGAAAAGAUCUUUAAAUCUAGUUUUUUAAUAAAUUUAUUUAGAGAUAUAAAUAUUAUACGUAUUUUUUUAUCAAACUUACGACAAAAAACUCAAAAUGGCAGCUAUUGUAGGACUGAGCAGCAGCUCAUAACAGUUUUUCUAUGACUCAAUUUUAUUAUUAUCAUUCUUACGCCAGUACGAGUCUGCCAACUCAACAGAGCAAGGCUCGGCCGCUAGGGAACAUGAAUCAGAGAGCAGCAGGUCGUUCAUCAUUCCACGAAGCAUGUGGUGGGGGCGAUGACUCGAGAGGAACUAAAGCAUCUUUGCCACAUUAUAUUGUUAUGAACAGAAUCCUGCCGAUCGGACGAUUGCAAUAAACCUAGACCAAACUUUUAGAGAUGUCUCCAGCAAAACAAAGCGAGCCAACUCAUAUUACUAUUAAGUAGUGAUCAUAUGACCAUGAGAUCAGGAAUGACAAUCAUCAUCAGCAAAGCAGCGGCAUUAUCAUCAGCUAUCGCCAUAGACAAAUCAGAUAAACAUAAACUAUAUUCAUGAACAAAAUAAAACUUGUACCAUUAGUGUAGCAACACUAGACAAGGUGUCUCACCUCCUGUUGCGAGGCGGCAAGGUGCCACCGCCGGAAAAUGGCCAGCAAAGUAUAAGUGAUAUCAUCGAAUGAAAUGAAAUGCUAUUAGCAAAAGAGUAAAAGCUAGUACACAACAAGAACAUGCAUGCAUGAUGUAUCUGCUUGCCUGCCGGCUCUUGGCACUACACUGGGUACCAAAUCGGCUAGGCAGAGCCAUGUGACCACCACAACCCCACAUCAUUAUGAUCUAACAUGACCAUCACCUUCCAGUUCACAGGCAAACCUUCCCGCCUCAACUAACUCUGGCUGACCACAUCAGUUGAACAUAAGACAAACAAACAAACAGAGCAUGCACACCAAACACAAUCAAAUCUCAAGAAUGAGGUACCGACACUACAAGUAAACUAAAAACACUUUUAAUUAAGUUCAUGGUACAUCCGGUACUUAAGGAUUACAUGCUGAUUUUUUUUUUAGUUUUCCAAAGUUCUGAAUAGAAUUACAUAAGGAUGCGACGACAGUCUCGCUGAUACCAUACAUAAUUUACAUCCAGGUUCCUUAGUAGUAAAAAAAGGUAGUGGUCUAAGAUGAGACGAGAGCUAAACACAACACAUCUAGUAGUAGUGGUAAGGACAUAUAAGAUGAGAUACCCAACCUACCGUUGUAGUCAGUCACUACAAAAUAGGGCCAUUGUGCGAUUCUGAGUCGUUGGCAUCAUCAGUUGUUGUCAUGUCAUUCAUCAGCGACUUGUUUUGUUUCCUGACUGAACCUACCGGUAGUAAGCCUGGUGGAAGGCAGGAGCCAUUCCAUUGGUGUAAGCUGCCAUCCCAUUGCCAUAACCGCCAUAGGGGGCAGGGUAGCUCAUGGGUGGGGUGGAGUAUGGCAUGGGAAUGCCGACGUUGACACUGGCUACCUCCUCAGCUGGGUAAACAUAUGGCUCCCUGAUCACCGGUGGGCUCCGGUUGCAGUAGAGGCCAUGUCCAACCGGCCUGUCAUAGGGGUAAGGGGAGGCUGUGGUGUAUGAUGGGUGGGACGGGGAGGCUGUGGCGUAUGUUGGGUGGGAAGGGGAGGCUGUGGCAUAUGCGGUGUGGGAAGGGGAGGUCAUGGCGUAUGCGGUGUGGGAAGGGGAGGUCGUGGCAUAUGCGGUGUGGGAAGGGGAGGUCGUGGCAUAUGAGGUAUGGGAAGGGGAGGUCGUGGCAUAUGAGGCAUGGGAGGGAGACUGGGUAAAUGUGGUGGGAGCUGGGAAAGAAGACACACAAGCAUUGUUAGUGAGACGACCUGCCUUGGCAGGAGGCAUUGGGCCUCCAUUGCUUGCACGGAUGCGCUUGGUUGCAGGGCCGCUGCUGCUGCCACUGGUAGCGCUUGAUGCUGCCUUUUUCUUCUCAGUCUUGGCUUUCUCCAGCUCUUCAAGUUGCUUCCGAAGAUCCUCCAGUGA